AUCCUGGGAGGCCUUCAGAGUGUGGGAUAUUUUUUAUUCCAUUUUUAUUAAAAAUGUCAAACAACCAGAGCUUCCAGGGACUAAACCAUAGACUGUGGCAUCUUUAUAGCAACACAGAGGCUGGUGAUUUGGCCCAGAGGAAGGUGAAGGCUGUAAGGGAGAGAUGGAGUUUGGUGGGGGUAGGGAUAGAUCCUGAGUCUGCUGGAGUUUUGGGGGUUACCAGCUCCUGCAGUUCUUUGGGAAGUCCCCUUCCCUAUUGCCCAAAUGCAGUAGAACUCCAGGGAGGCCUUCAAACUCUGGGCUCUUUAGAGGAGCAGACAAACUGGUGACCAAAUGCAAAACUUUUAAAUAAAUGUUGUGAUGUGUGUAUAGACAAAUCUGCUACAUGUUCAGGUUUUGUGUGCCUUGAGAGAUGUAUGAUAUUUAUGGUUUGAUAUAAAAACAGCAAUGCUACAGAAAGUUGACCCAUAUACGAACAAAUUGAUAUUCAAACCAUGUAAAGCUGAAGGAAAAAAUAAACCAGUUUUACAGUGAAAUCAUGGGCUGGCAGGAAGGCUCAGAGGUUAAAAGUACUGACUACUUUUCCAGAAGUUUUGAUUUCAGUUCUCAGCAACCACAGGAUAGCUCACAACCAUUAGUAGAUGCCUUCUUCUCACGUGUCUGAAGAUAGCAAUAGUGUGCUCAAAUAUAUAAAAUAAAUAUUAAAUAUUGAAAUCCUAGUAGUGUUAAUUAAAUGAAGUAUUUUUAUUGUAAAAAAUUAAAAAUUGAAAAUUUACUAGCUAGUUCAUCAAGUAAGUCUUUUUUUACUGAUCAAAAUUAUACUUACUUAUUUUAGAGGAUAUUCUUAUAUGUCCUAAGCUGUCCUUUAAUGAAUUAUGUAGCAGGGAAUCACCAUUUUACUUUUGAUCCCCCAAUCCUAUUUUAGGAGGAUUCUGGGAUUACAGUCAUGUAUUACAGCCACACAUUUAUGUGGUUCUGGCAUUCAAAUUCACAGUUUCCCUCAGGCUGGAAAACUGCUCUAACAACUCAACUAUUGUAUUUCUAGCUCAAGGUAAAUUUUUAUAUUUUAGAGCUUGAGAUCAGAGCUGAUCCCCAUAUUCCCAGUACUCAGGAAGUUGAUUUGGAAUGAUCACAAGAUUUUAAGGCCAUUUUAAACUAUGUAACCACAUGACAUAGUGGCUUCCAUCUUUAAUCCCAGUGUUCAGAAUGCUGAGCUUGAAGGAACACUUACAAUUUUAGGAUAGUCUGGGGGUAUAUAUUGCAUUAUAGAUUAGGCUUGGAUACAGAGAAAUACUAUGUAUAAAAGUAGCAAUAGCAGAUAAAUAAUAAAUACUUAAAAAUGUAACAAUCUCAGUACUUCUUAUGAUGUUGUGCAUGUCAGUCAACAACUUUCUGGAUAUAUUCUGGCAUAAUAUAUACCAAUUUUCUUUCACUUUUUUAAAUUUCCCAAAUGGUUUUCAAUAUAAGAAGUAAGUUCAGUCUGUUUGUGAUUGCAUGAAAAUUUAGAUUCACAGAAGAUAAUGCAGUUAGAUUUUUAAUUCAAGAAUAGUCUAGGCUGCAUCUAGAAAGCUUCUCUCAAAAAAUAAGUCAUAUUUUUAGAUGAUUAUAGCCUGUCACUUCCAUAUCAGAGUAUUUACUAUGUGCAGACCUUGUUAUUUAAAAAAGCUGUCAUGCAUCAAUACUUUGGUUGUACUACUUGUAAAUAUGUACCUAGUAGUAUAUUAACUAUAAUAUGAUUAUAAUACUUGAGGAUAAAUAUAUCCUAUUUCAAUUUCAUUAAACAUAGUGUAUACUAGAUUACAAAAUGAUUGUCAAUUUUAUAGAAGAAAGAAUUGCUUCACAAUUUUGUUUCAGUUUCUACCCAAGCAUUUCAUAACAUUUGAUUUAUUAUAUUUAUUAUUACUUCUAUAGAAUGUUAUUUUUCUCUAAUUCAGGAAUAGCGUUGUCCAACUGUAGUCUGUUCUACUUAAGAGAAAACACAGGAGGACUGCAUGUUUGAGGUCACCUUGACAACAGUGAAACCGCUUCUCUCCAUCUCAACAAUAAAAAGGUGGUAAACAUAUUGACAUACACAUCAAAUAUGCUUUUCUGAAGAGGUUUCAUCUACAGAAUCUCCCAAAUACCAUUAUAUAUUUAUUGUCUCUGGAGUAUUAUUUUACCUUUCUUAUCGUACAACUUGCAUAGAAGACUUCCAAGGAAUAGAAAUGACCUGCUCUUGGCAAGUAAUUGCCUGAAACGUUCAAUUCUUCUCUUUACAUUAUAUCUUGGACUCCCAUAUUGUUUGUUGCAUAUUAUCUUUUAUUCAUAUUUUAAUUUGCAAAUAGAAGAAACUUUUCUAAGUGGGUUGUAUAGCUAAUGUAUAUAAACUUGCUUAUGAUACUUUGGAUUAUACCAAAAAUUGUUGACUGAUUUAAUCUCUUUACACCAGAUUUAUCAUUUGUUAGAUGGCUUCCUCCUUCUUUGAAUAAGAAACUCAGAUUUAGGCAGGUAAUGGGGAAGAUUAUUUGACACAGUGGUGUUUUCUAGAAGAGAAACUCUGAGUGCUAAUUUUGCUAAUAUUACUGGUCUCUGUCUAGGGCAGAAAUAUGAGUUUCUGUGGUUUACUUUUUCUCCAAUACUCCUACAGGAGACUUUGGUGCCUUUGUAAUGGAGUGGAUUAAGAAAUGCCUUUGCAUUGAUAAGGAGAGCCAUAGUGAUGUUGUCUUGUAGAGUAUGUGGCAUCAUGUUUUUAUUAAUAUCACAUUCCAGAAUAGAGUAAAAUCUCAUGGUUUCAAAGUGAUUCUAGUUUAUUCUAAAUUUGUUUUUUUUUGUUUUGUUUUUCUCCUUAAACUAAAUAAAGUAAUGUGAAGCAGUGCUAAUUUUAAACAUUAGUUGUGUGUUUCUAGACAAUAAGCUGCCAGUUCAUUUGAAAAUUGUCUGCAUUUUUCAACCUGUUUUAAUAGUUGUAAGAAUGAAAAUAAGUGUUAAGAUUUUUUUAACUGUAUGGGUAUGUCUUCAUGUGUAUAUGUGCAUGUCAGGUGUCUGUAGAGAUCAGAGUUAUAUAAUAUUUCUUUGAAUGUUUGCACUGUUUACUAAUACAUUAUUUAAUAGGUGCUAGUAAGAAUUCUCAAUGGAAAAAUGCAACUGGUAACUCCAGCUGGAUCACUGAAAUCAAGGUUAUAAUGUAAGACAGAAUAUAGCUUAUUACAGAACAUCACAUGGAUUGUUUUUAAACUCAUAAAUUUGUAGUAUAACCCAUAUCUCCUUACUCAUUACAUUAUUAUUACAUUUUAGCUAAUCCUGAGGUGUGGUCUGGGUUAUUUUAUAGUGCUCAUUUAUUUUACAUGCUGUGUUCUUCUUGUUUUAACUGCAGAGUUAAAUUAGUGUUUUUUAAUUAGUCUCUAAUGUUAACAUUUUCUGAGGUUAGAGUGGUCAUGACUCUAGUCAGACACCAGUACAAUUUGUCAGUUUGUGUUAAGGACCACAAAAAUUUGUAAAACUGUAGAUUUACAGACCAUAGUUUUGAAACAAGUAAUCUGUUCUUAUGUUUAAGAACAAUUAAGGCUAAUUAUUAAACUAUGCCCCCAUAAAUAGUUGCAUAAAUCUUGGGUCAUUUGGAUUUUAGCAGAUGGUUUUCUACCACAUAGCCUACUGUACAGGUCUAGAUUCAUCUAGAAAACCUUUGGUGAAUUUAAAUAUAGAAGGCACAAAAAGAAUAUCUUUUCUUAUACUAGUUACAUAAAUGGUCCUCAACCUAUGGGUCCCAACCCCUUUGUGGGUUGAACAAACCUAUCACAGGGGUCACCCAAGAACAUUGGCAAGCACAGCUAUCUUACAUUACAACUCAUAACAGUAGCAUAAAUAUAGUUAUGAAGUAGCAUUGAAAACAAUUUGAUAGUUGGAGGUCCCCAUUAUGCGAACAGAUGUAUUAAAGGAUUGUAGUAUGAAGUAUUUUAAAGUGAGAUGUUUUAUUUCAUUAUAUUAUCAAUAUCUACUGUGAUUAAAGAACUCUGCGAUCACUCAUUGCUAAUCUGCUAUCCGAGUUCCACAGCAGCAUAUAAUAAGACAUACAUUUUCAUGGUAUAUAUAGUAGUCAGUAACUUUCUUAGGUUUUUAUCUAUGUACAUGGAGAUUUUAGAUGUAAGAUCUUUGUAGCAAUGAUUUUUCUAUUUAAAUAUCAUAGUGGUUUAUGGAGUUUACAAAAAUGUGUUUUGCUUCUAAAUGUGAUGAUGUUGAUGAUGUGUAUUAUUAUGUAAGUAUGAUAAUAUUUUUGAGUUUCUGCUUAUAGUUUUCUAGGUAUAAUAAUAUUAGAUCAUCAUCUUUAUAUGCCUUUGGUUUCUGUCAAUAUUUUGAAGUUGCCUGCAAAUAUUUUCUGGGUUAAGCCAGUAGAGUGGUGUAAGGAUAGUGCUAAUUUUCAUAGACUUGUCUUUACUAAGUUUCAAUGACUUAGUAAAUAAUAGCCAAUCUAAUAGGUGAAACAAUAUUUUUAAAGCCUAAAUUAAGCCUCACUUAAAUGCUUAAUGGACCUGACUUAAAAAAAAACUAAAUUGCUUUUAGUUGUAGAAACAACUAAAAUUUCCAAAUUUUGCUUAGUUUACAUAGUGAUACAGAUAAGGUUACAUAGUGAUACCUUGUCUCAGUGUUUGCAUUUCUUCAUAAGUUGAUUGAGUAUACACUAUGGUAACAUGUUUUUUUUUCUUUUUUCUUUUAUUUUGAUGUGAUUGUAGAGCCAUAUGCUCUUUAUAGUCUGAUUUACUCUCUGCAUUCCUUUCACUUAUCAUUUCCCAUACUUUUCCCUCCAUAUUAUCAUCUUAUUUCUGUUUGCGCAUGUCAAUUGGUUUUCUAAACUAUAUAUUAAUUUAAGGUAUGAUGUUCAAAAUGCAGGUAUUUUUUUUAAAUGUGUGCUUAGAUUCCUUUAAACUUGGACUAAAGGUUAAGAAGUGUUGAUUGUCCUGUUUGAAUCUAGUAUUAAUUAUGCAAUAAUAUAUUACAAUAUAAUAUGCUAAACUAUUAUGGUAUAUUAUAUUAUAUUGUAUUAUAUUAUAUUUAUUAUGCUAUACAAUAUUAUUUAAUUAUCCUCUAGAUUCCUGUUUCUUUUCUGUUUUUAAUUGGAUAUUUAUUUAUUGACAUUUCAAAUGUUAUCCCCUUUCCUGGUUUCCCCUCUGGACAUUCCCUAUCCCAUCCUCCAUUCCCUUGCUUCUAAGAAAGUGCUUCCCUACUCACGCAUACCUGUCUACCUAUCCUAGCACUUACCUACACUAUGAAAUUGAGUCUUCCCCGGACUAAGGGUCCCUUGUACCAUAGAUGUCUGACAAGACUAUACUCUGCUUCUUAUACAACCAUAGCCACGGGUCCAUAUAUGUGUACGCAUUGGUUGGUGGUUUAAUUUCUAGGAGUUCUUGGGUUCUGGUUGUUCUUGCUGUGGAUUGCAAACCACUUCAGACCCUUCAGUCCUUUCUCUAACUUUUCCAUUGGGGACCCUGUUCUCAGUCCAGUGGUUAGCUAUGAGCAUCCUCUACACUUCAGGCUCUGGUAGAGCCUCUGAGGAAACAUCUGUAUCAGGCUACUGUAAGCAAGCACUUACUGGCAUCUUCAAUAGUGGCUGGGUUUGGUGUCUGUAUAUGGGAGUGAUCCCCAAGUGGAGCAUUCUCUAGAUGGCCUUCCUUCAGUCUCUGAUCUACACUUUUUCUCAGUAUUUCCUUCCUUGAGCAUUUUGUAAGAAGUACUGAAACAUCCACAUUUUGGUCUUCCUUCUUCUUGAGCUUCAUGCAGUCUGUGAAUUAUAUCUUGGGUAUUGGGAGCUUUUGGGCUAAUAACUUAUCAGUGAGUACAUACCAUGUGUGCUCUUUGUGAUUGGGUUAAAUCACUCAGGAUGAUAUUUUCUAAUUCUAUCCAUUUACCUAUGAAUUUCAUGAAACCAUUGUUUUUAAUAUUUGAACACUACUCCCUUGUUUAAAUGUACCCCAUUUUCUGUACCCAUUCCUCUAUUGAAGGAUAUUUGGUUUUUUUCCAGGUUAAAUAAAUAAGGCUACUAUGAAUAUAAUGGAACAUGUCUCCUUGUUAUAUGUUGGAGCAUCUUUUGGGUAUAUGCAAAGAGUGAUAUAGCUGUGUCCUCAGGUAGUACAAUGGCCAAUUUUCUAGGUCUUUACCUUUUUUUUUUUUGAAGCUGGGGACUGAACCCAGGGCCUUGCACUUGCUAGGCAAGCACUCUAUCACUGAGCUAAAUCCCCAACCCCUUAAAAAGCAACCAUCCAGGCUUGGUG
rnacentral:lncRNA from 1 species